rnacentral:snRNA from 1 species
AUAUAAAUCGACUAGAUUUUAAC